GGGGGUGUGGCUCAGUGGUAGAGCACUUGCCUAGUAUGUAUGAAGCCUUGGGAUCAAAGCCUAGUACCACAC
rnacentral:tRNA from 1 species